AACGAACGCUGGCGGCAUGCCUAACACAUGCCAGUCGAACGAGACCUUCGGGUCUAGUGGCGCACGGGUGCGUAACGCGUGGGAACCUGCCCUUAGGUUCGGAAUAACUCCCCGAAAGGGGUGCUAAUACCGGAUAAUGUCUUCGGACCAAAGAUUUAUCGCCUUUGGAUGGGCCCGCGUUGGAUUAGCUAGUUGGUAGGGUAAAAGCCUACCAAGGCGACGAUCCAUAGCUGGUCUGAGAGGAUGAUCAGCCACACUGGGACUGAGACACGGCCCAGACUCCUACGGGAGGCAGCAGUGGGGAAUAUUGGACAAUGGGCGAAAGCCUGAUCCAGCAAUGCCGCGUGAGUGAUGAAGGCCUUAGGGUUGUAAAGCUCUUUUACCCGGGAUGAUAAUGACAGCACCGGGAGAAUAAGCUCCGGCUAACUCCGUG
rnacentral:rRNA from 1 species